rnacentral:sRNA from 1 species
ACAUUCGCAAUGAAGGGAACCGCCAGGCGUCACAGCGGCGCGCCAGAGAGUAGCCUCCAUCGGCUGGGAGAGGCUAUCGUGCCGUAUCGCCUGCACCCAUCCCGGAGCGGCCGGCGACGAGCCGGACAGCGCCCUCUGUUACAAGGGUCCGGAGUGGGACGGCAUUCAUGCCGCCCAAGCGAAGGUGGUACCGCGGAAGCAUAGGCUUUCGUCCUUUUU